CCUACGGGUGGCAGCCGUGGGGAAUAUUGCACAAUGGGGGAAACCCUGAUGCAGCGACGCCGCGUGAGUGAAGAAGUAUCUCGGUACGUAAAGCUCUAUCAGCAGGGAAGAAAAUGACGGUACCUGACUAAGAAGCCCCGGCUAACUACGUGCCAGCAGCCGCGGUAAUACGUAGGGGGCAAGCGUUAUCCGGAUUUACUGGGUGUAACGGGAGCGUAGACGGCAGCGCAAGUCUGGAGUGAAAUGCCGGGGCCAAACCCCGGAACUGCUUUGGAAACUGUGCAGCUGGAGUGCAGGAGAGGUAAGCGGAAUUCCUAGUGUAGCGGUGAAAUGCGUAGAUAUUAGGAGGAACACCAGUGGCGAAGGCGGCUUACUGGACUGUAACUGACGUUGAGGCUCGAAAGCGUGGGGAGCAAACAGGAUUAGAUACCCCAGUAGUC
rnacentral:rRNA from 1 species